UUCCGAGUUUCUGAAGUUCUGACAUUCUGAAAUUCUGAGAUUUUGAGUUUCUGAGUUUCUGAAUUUCUGAGAUUCUGAAAUUCAGAGUUUCUGAAGUUCUGAGAUUCUAAAAUUCUGAGAUUCAGAGUCUCUGAGAUUCUGAAUUUCUGAGAUUUUGAGUUUCUGAGAUUCUGAAUUUCUGAGAUCCUGAAAUUCAGAGUUUCUGAGACUCCUCACUGAGGCUCCUUCCUGCAUUUUUAACUCUGUGUGUAAAUGAGAUCUCUUUGUGUCUCAGACUUGGCAGCAGACCUUGCAAAUGGCCUGAAUUUCAAACUGACCCACCUUGGCUGCAGGUGGCACAGUUAGGGAGCUGCAGCUGGGAGAAAUCCAGGGUUUAUUCCCUGGGGAAAUGCAGGGUUUAUUCCCUGGGGAAAUCCAGGAUUUAUCCCUGAGAGAAAUCCAGGAUUCAUUCCCAGGAGAAAUCCAGGGUUUAUUCCCUGGGGAAAUCCAGGGUUUAUCCCCAGGAGAAAUCCAGGAUUCAUUCCCUGGGAGAAAUCCAGAGUUUAUUCCCCUAUGAAAAAUCCAGGAUUUAUUCCCAGGAGAAAUCCAGGGUUUAUUCCCAGGAGAAAUCCAGGUUUUAUUCCCUGGGAGAAAUGCAAGAUUUAUCCCCUGAAUAAAUCCAAGGUUUUAUUCCCUGGGGAAAUCCAGGAUUUAUCCCUGAGAGAAAUCCAAGGUUUAUUCCCUGGAGAAAUCCAAAGUUUUAUUCCCAGGAGAAAUCCAGGAUUUAUCCCCUGGCAGAGCUGGGGUGUCCCUGUGGGAUUGGGGCAGGACCCUGUGAGAUCCAGGGAUUCCAGCAGCUCCUGCCUUCCCCUUCCCCAGGGGACUCCCCCUCUCACUCCCUAAAAUCCCAGAUUUUGUGGCAUCAGGCUGAUCUGGAAGCAAACCCAGAGAAAAAUCGUGGAGAGGAUCCCAAGCAUUCCCAGAACAAAGAAUUCAUUUUAUUUCCAGUGGAACAGUGCUCAGUGUGAGAGGCUCCCACCAAGGAAAAACUGAAAAAAAACCCAAAACCAAAACCUGCAGGAGCACAUGGUGUUAAUUGGUGUCAUUGCUGAGUUUGGUUCCAGUGCUGGUGGAGCUGUCUGGUGUCCCCAGGGGUGCCUGUCCCUCCCUCCCUCCCUCCCUCUGUGUUUUCUAUCACCACCCCAAAACUCCCAAGCUAGACUGUUGCAUUUGCCAAUACAAUGGGGAAGAACAGGAAUAAACCCUAGGUGCAUCCAAAACUGUGAUUUUUUUUUUUUAUUUUUAAUUUUUUAUUUUUUAUUUUUUUUUUCCAGCAGCCAGCCCAGCCCUGGUGCUCUGGGGGGGCUGGGGGAGGCUCCUUUCCCUGUACAUAAAUUCCCCCACAGCUUCUGCAUGGCAGGGAGUGCUUGCCAGCCCCCCCUGUGCCCCCAGAUCCAGCCUGGGCUGAGCUUUGCCCCCCCUGGGCUGAGCUUUCAUUUCCAAGAGGGGAAAUCCUUUCCAGAAAAGUCUCUGGAAUCACUCAGGAGCUGCUGGCCCUGUGCAUUGUUUGGUGAAUUCAUUUCUGGGAGAGCUCCUGGGUGAACUUUCAGCCCAGAGGGACCUUGGGGUCCUGCAGGUCUUUCCCAACCUUCAUUUGGUUCUUCCUUUCCAGCCCUGAUUCCAGAAUUUUUUUCCCACCUUAAUUUGGUUUUUCUUCUCCUACCUUGAUUGGGUUCUUCCUUUCCAGCCCUGAUUCCAGAAUUUUUUUCCCACCUUAAUUUGGUUUUUCUUCUCCCACCUUGACUGGGUUGUUCUUUUCCCACCUUGAUUUGGUUUUUCUUUUCCCACCUUGAUUGGGUUUUUCUUUUCCCACCUUAAUUUGGUUUUUCUUCUCCCACCUUGAUUGGGUUCUUCCUUUCCAACCCUGAUUCCUGAAUUUUUUUCCCACCUUAAUUUGGUUUUUCUUCUCCCACCUUGACUGGUUUGUUCUUUUCCAACCCUGAUUUGGUGAUUAUUUUUUUUUCUGAACUCGAUUCAGGUUCUUUUCCAGCCUUAAUUCAGUGAUUCCUCCCCAACCCUGAUUCUGUGUCCCUUUCCCAACCUCAACUCCAAGAUCAAAACCUUCCCUGAGUUUCUCUAACAGCAAAACCAAACCGUCCCUCCUAAAAAUUUCUGUCAAAACAACAAUUAAAUCUUGAGCUGUUCCUUUAAGGAAAGACCUUCUGGAGCUGAAGGAAGCAGGAAAUCCCCUCCUCCCCUGCUGCCCCCCACCUUGGCUGUUUUUAUUUCUGGAGAAACCCCAAAACCAGCGCGUUUAUUCCUCGGAGCAACGGCCCCCCCGUCACUGUGAUGGCAAUGUGAAAGCGCAGG